rnacentral:rRNA from 1 species
AACGAACGCUGGCGGCAUGCCUAACACAUGCAAGUCGAACGAGACCUUCGGGUCUAGUGGCGCACGGGUGCGUAACGCGUGGGAACCUGCCCUUAGGUUCGGAAUAACUCCCCGAAAGGGGUGCUAAUACCGGAUAAUGUCUUCGGACCAAAGAUUUAUCGCCUUUGGAUGGGCCCGCGUUGGAUUAGCUAGUUGGUAGGGUAAAAGCCUCCCAAGGCGACGAUCCAUAGCUGGUCUGAGAGGAUGAUCAGCCACACUGGGACUGAGACACGGCCCAGACUCCUACGGGAAGCAGCGGUGGAGAAUAUUGGACAAUGGGCGAAAGCCUGAUACAGCAAUGCCGCGUGAGUGAUGAAGGCCUUAGGGUUGUAAAGCUCUUUUACCCGGGAUGAUAAUGACAGUACCGGGAGAAUAAGCUCCGGCUAACUCCGUG